rnacentral:rRNA from 1 species
AGUGAACGCUGGCGGCGUGCCUAAUACAUGCAAGUCGAACGGAGAUUAAGUAGCUUGCUAUUUAAUCUUAGUGGCGCACGGGUGAGUAAUAUAUAGCUAACUUGCCCAUUACUAAGGGACAACAGUUGGAAACGACUGCUAAUACCUUAUACUCCGUAUCUAUAUAAGUAGAUACGGGAAAGUUUUUCGGUAAUGGAUAGGGCUAUAUCGUAUCAGCUAGUUGGUAAGGUAAUGGCUUACCAAGGCUAUGACGCGUAACUGGUCUGAGAGGAUGAUCAGUCACGCUGGAACUGAGACACGGUCCAGACUCCUGCGGGAGGCAGCAGUAGGGAAUAUUGCUCAAUGGGGGCAACCCUGAAGCAGCAACGCCGCGUGGAGGAUGCCACUUUUCGGAGCGUAAACUCCUUUUCUUGGGAAAGAAUUAUGACGGUACCCAAGGAAUAAGCACCGGCUAACUCCGUG